rnacentral:rRNA from 1 species
AACGAACGCUGGCGGCAUGCCUAACACAUGCAAGUCGAACGAGACCUUCGGGUCUAGUGGCGCACGGGUGCGUAACGCGUGGGAAUCUGCCCUUGGGUUCGGAAUAACAGUUAGAAAUGACUGCUAAUACCGGAUGAUGACUUCGGUCCAAAGAUUUAUCGCCCAGGGAUGAGCCCGCGUAGGAUUAGCUUGUUGGUGAGGUAAGAGCUCACCAAGGCGACGAUCCUUAGCUGGUCUGAGAGGAUGAUCAGCCACACUGGGACUGAGACACGGCCCAGACUCCUACGGGAGGCAGCAGUGGGGAAUAUUGGACAAUGGGCGCAAGCCUGAUCCAGCCAUGCCGCGUGAGUGAUGAAGGCCCUAGGGUUGUAAAGCUCUUUCACCGGUGAAGAUAAUGACGGUAACCGGAGAAGAAGCCCCGGCUAACUUCGUACCAGCCGCCGCCGUAACAC